rnacentral:rRNA from 1 species
CAAGAGUACGUGAAACCGUUUAGGGGUAAACCUGAGAAACCCGAAAGGUCGAAGGGAGAAAUUCAUUCGCGUUUCGACGCAGGCGUGGUGCGGGGCGAGCGACGGGACGCGUUCUUCGGAACGAGUUUCGCGCCCUCCGUACUUCGAACCGGUGACGAACGCGUGCACUUUUCUCCUGGUAGGACGUCGCGAUCCGUCGGGUGUCGGUCUACGACUUGCGGUGGAGACCGUCCGUCGUCGUUUCGUACGAUGCGGACGGACCCGCACGUUCCGGCCGACUCGCUCGACGGUAUACGAAAGGUCGGAGGCCGCUCGUUUUUUUUUCAAGGAGCGUUCGACUCGUCGCAAGCGCGCCACGUGCGUCGGCACGCGGACCUCGUGCCGCGUCCGACCUCUGGUGACUGUUGGCGACGACGUUCUCGGACAGACCUCUUUUCGUCGUCGUCGCAAGGCGAUCGACAAAGACCGAUCGGCGACGCUAUAGCUUUGGGUACUUUCAGGACCCGUCUUGAAACACGGACCAAGGAGUCUAGCAUGUACGCGAGUCAUUGGGAAUCACUAAACCUAAAGGCGUAAUGAAAGUGAAGGUCUUCCUCGCGGAGACCGAGGGAAGACGGACGGGGGUGGUUACGUUACGUUACGAACCGUCCUGCAUUCCCGGGGCGUCUCGUUCACAUCGCGUGAAGAGGCGCACCAAGAGCGUACACGCUGGGACCCGAAAGAUGGUGAACUAUGCCUGGUCAGGACGAAGUCAGGGGAAACCCUGAUGGAGGUCCGUAGCGAUUCU